rnacentral:rRNA from 1 species
CCUACGGGGGGCAGCAGUGAGGAAUAUUGGUCAAUGGACGAGAGUCUGAACCAGCCAAGUAGCGUGAAGGAUGACUGCCCUAUGGGUUGUAAACUUCUUUUAUAUGGGAAUAAAAUGUUCCACGUGUGGGAUUUUGUAUGUACCAUAUGAAUAAGGAUCGGCUAACUCCGUGCCAGCAGCCGCGGUAAUACGGAGGAUCCGAUCGUUAUCCGGGUUUAUUGGGUUUAAAGGGUGCGUAGGUGGAUUGUUAAGUCAGUUGUGAAAGUUUGCGGCUCAACCGUAAAAUUGCAGUUGAAACUGGCAGUCUUGAGUACAGUAGAGGUGGGCGGAAUUCGUGGUGUAGCGGUGAAAUGCUUAGAUAUCACGAAGAACUCCGAUUGCGAAGGCAGUUCACUGGACUGCAACUGACACUGAGGCUCGAAAGUGUGGGUAUCAAACAGGAUUAGAUACCCGGGUAGUC